AUGAAAAUACAGUACAAGAAAAAGUGGGCUACAAUAAUGUGGUUGCCACGGGGGCAACCAGGGGUGAUGAUUAGGUUGCCACUUGUCACAAUUUGGUUGCCAUGGGCAAACCUUUAUUAUUUAAAGCCCAUACACACUUAUUUAUUUAGUUUUUUGUGGGCGGGGGGGGGUGCCAAAAUUGUUGCUACAUACCCCUCUGACACUGGGUAGUUGCGCCCCUGUCGGCACGUCACUGGGAUAAGAAGAGAGAACAAUAACUGAGGAACAUGGUGAUGCACACUAAAAAACCAUCAUGAGUCUGAGAACUUUUGCCCCUAAGACCAAAUAAUAGUCGAGGAAAUAAUAGGCUAAUUUAAUAAGUAGACACAGUGGGCACUGGGCCUAAACUACACCAAUAAAGUACAUUAACAUUUCGUGUCAGCAAAAACAUUUUACAUGUAGGCUUUUUGGACAACGCAUUCAGUAUUUUAAAUAAAUAAAUGUAUUUUACUAUAACAUAUUGCACAAUAACGUCUAUAUUUUAUACAGCACUUCUGAACAAAUGUUGACUAUUUAGUUAGAUAAGAUAGAUUUAGAAAAUAACACGCAGGCUUGUUGGCUCCUUUACUGCACACAUGAGACUACACCAAUUCAAAUCAGAGCGGUGUGGUAGAGCUUUGGCUUCAGUCUUCAUCAGGGCUGCUCUAAGUCUGGACAGUCACCAGAUGGCACUGUGCUGCUGAGUUUGAAGCCCCAAAGCUUCUCUGCUAUUCUGCUUUUUCUGUUCUGAUGCAGAAUAAAUAAAACACUGUAGGCUAGAAGCUCUCUUUGCUGAAGAUAAAGUUCAACCAGUAACCACUAAUUACCUCCACAUGUGUAUCUCAACGCAAGGCAAGGCAGCUUUAUUUGUUUUGCACAUUUCAGCAACAGGGCAAUUCAAAGUGCUUUACAUAAAACAAUAAAGAGCAGUUAAAAACAAUUAAAAAACAAAUUAAAACAUUAAAGUGCAGGUAAAAAUUAUUAAAAAAAAAUAAAAAAGUGACUUGACAGACAUAUUAGUUCUACUUGCUACCUGUUUGAUUGGGAGGAGGAAAAUACAGCCUUCACAAUCUAUUCUCUUUGUUACCUUUAUUUCAACAGGCCUGACUUAUACACACCAUUCAUAAUAGCAUAUCAUUCAGAAACAUUAGAAUACUUUUUAUGUUAACAUCUGGAAAGAAAUACCUAUAGACUUUAUUAAUCUUAGAGCAAGUAGGCAAUGUGCAGAAAUCAUAAUAAAUAAACUAGUGCAGUGCCUGUUGGAAACGCUCCUGUCUGUAUCAGGCCGACUGCUUGGCCUGUCGUAUAGCUGCUGGUAGUUUUCUUUUUCAGAGCCAUUGUACCCCAAAAUUAAUGAUUAUUCCUUGAUUCCGAUUUUACUCACAAAAUAGGUCUAUCCCAUUUAAAAUGUGGAUUCAUCUCAGACAUUUGCCUCAUGGACUCAUGGGGGUGCCCCAUGCGUCACCCAUCUGGCCCGUUAUGAGAGCCAAUCAGCAGAAGACUGCAUUAAUCAACCACCAGAACCUGACCGAGCAUAGAGACGGACUCAGCCGGCAGAGUGUGUGUGUGUGUGUGUGUGUGUGUGUGUGUGUGUGUGUGUGUGUGUGUGUGUGUGUGUGUGUGUGUGUGUGUGUGUACUUGAGAGAGAAGGGGAAGUUUUUCUUUUAACUAGGCUAGAUUUUAGGGUCUUCUUUUUCGUCAACAAUAUUGCAUGUUCAUAUCGCCACAGUCAGCGUUUAAUGUCGGCGCUGCUGUCUCGUCAUCAUUAUCGUUAGGGAUUUACCACUUCAUCAGAGGUAAGAAUAUCCAAACAGGCUUAGUGGCUUAAUGUUAAAGAGCAACAUUUUAAAAUUUGCCUCCCCUUUCGAAUGCAACAUUCAAAUUACUAGACAAAAAAUUAUAUCCUGAGAAAAGUGGGUUUGAGGGGUAUAGCUACAUAGAGUCCCAUUCAUUCUGUCACGAAUCCACUAUGUGGAGAGUGACAAGCGGGGGUUUUCUAGAGUCUCUCUCUCUUUUCCUCUCCCUCUCCUCUCCUCUCCUCUCCUCUCUCUUUUUCUCCUCUCUCUUAGUGCAGUGGGUGUGACAGGCCGCUCCCAGGAUGACGCUCAGCUGCAGGCGAUCUCUAAUCAUCCACCUGUGGCUCAUUAGUGCAGAGUCUUAAACUGUGGCUGCUCUCUGUUCGGAUAGCUAGUCUUGUCACGAAUACUACUCUGUCUGCUGUUGCUGUACCUGCCUGUUGACGCCACUCUCUGCCUGCAAUCAGCAGCCCUGUGUUCACUACCUGCUCUGUCUCCUGGGAGGAUUACUCCACCAGUCCAUUCUGCUAAGAUUCUCAGAUUCAGAAAUAAACUAUUUAAACGUU